GCCAGAAGACAUCGUGGGGGAGGGCUGUGAGCAAUAGGAGCCUUAUGCUUGCGGCUGCUACAGGAGGAGGGCGAUCAGGUGCUCCCCAGAGAGCCUUCCAAGAUGCUCUCAAAAUCAUAGCCUGCCCCAUUGCCUCAUCCUGCUAAUCGGACCCUAAAACAAGGUAUGGCUUGCCUUUGAGAAAUCUGCUUGACCUGAAACAGUAGGUGAUAUACCUAGAGUCCACAAAUCUUCUCCCAGAGUUCUAUUUCCUGGGCAUCUCUCUACCUAACUCAGGAUUUCUUCUCUUCUGGCUAAGAACAGAUGUGCUAUCCAAAGCUGACAUUACUCUUGAAGAACAGAGGAAGCAACUACAAGCUCUCCAUUCCCUCCCAACCCAUCUGUUGCCUUCCAAGGAAAAUUUACCCGGGCAGGCUCCCAGGUUAUGCAAUUAUACAUGGACUUCCCUGGUGGCGCCGUGGUUAAGAAUCCGCCUGCCAAUGCAGGGGACACAGGUUCGAGCCCUGGUCCAGGAAGAUCACACAUGCUGCAGAGCAACUAAGCCCGUGCGCCACAACUACUGAGCCUGCGCUCUAGAGCCUGCGAGCCACAACUACUGAGCCUGCACACCACAACUAUUGAAGCCCGUGCACCUGGAGCCCGUGCUCCACAACAAGAGAAGCCACCGCAAUCAGA